AUUGAACGCUGGCGGCAUGCCUAACACAUGCAAGUCGAACGGAAGAAGGUUGCUUGCUCGUGGAGCCAGCGGCGGACGGGUGUGUAAUACCUAGGAAUCUCCCGGGGAGUGGGUGAUAACGACCGCAAACAGGCGCUAAUACGACCUGCGGGCGGAGGCAGGAAGUGGGGGAACUUCGGACCUUUCGCUCGCAGGUGAGCCGAGGUCGGAUUAGCUAGUUGGUGGGGUAAAGGCCUACCAAGGCGACGAUCCGUAACUGGUCUGAGAGGACGAUCAGUCACACUGGAACUGAGACACGGCCCAGACUCCUACGGGAGGCAGCAGUGGGGAAUAUUGGACAAUGGGCGCAAGCCUGAUCCAGCCAUGCCGCGUGUGUGAAGAAGGCCUUCGGAUUGUAAAGCGCUUUUGGCAGGGAGGAAAAGCUUUUGGCUAAUACCUGGCAGUCUUGACGUUACCAGAAGAAUAAGCACCGGCUAACUACGUG
rnacentral:rRNA from 1 species